UUUAAUUGAAACCAAAUUAGAGGUAUGUCACUGUUAAUGACACUAUUGAACCGUGUUCCAAUUAAAG
rnacentral:tRNA from 1 species